UGGUCCAAACAGACGGCGGCAUCUUGGUUUUUUUGGCUCACUUUCUGUGAGAAGUUUUAACUUUAGGGAUGAAGUGAGAGCUAAACCAGGAAUAGAUCAUUACAAGUACGACGGUUUCCGUGUAGCAAAUGAAAACAUACAUUGAGACCUUCUCUGCUCCUGCAGCAGGUUCCUCCAUACCUGAGAGCUU